AAGAAUGAAAAGCGAAGCGAGAGAAUCGAAAAAGAGAAAGCGAAAAGGAAAAGGAAGGAAAGAUAAGUGAAUGAGAAGGUAAUGGAAGUGAAUGAAAUGAAAAGCAAUUGUGAAGAGCAAAGCAAGAGAUAGGCAAAAAUAAGGAUUGGAUUAAAGAGAGUUUAGAAACAGCGGCUAAUGCUAAGUGAGAGAGCAUGCGUGGUUAAGACUAACUGAAAUAGAUUGUGAGUGAAUGGAAAGAAAAGUACUGAAGAGCGAAUAAUUAUGUUGGAAAUCAAAAGAAGCGAGAAAUGUGAAACACAUUUAAAAAAUAAAGCAACAAAUUAGAUAAUAUAUUGAAAUUUUUCGACUGAGCGAGCGAUAUGGGAGUUCACGCAACGAAAGUAAGGCUCAGCAGUAAAGAAAGUGUUCGAUGAAUAUCGUAAAACAGAGAAAGGCUGAUUAUGCGCGUGAAAGCUUUAAGACAAGAGAAUAGCAGUUUGAGCCGAAGUGUGUGAAGAAGAAGUAAGAGAAUGGAGCACUGUAAUGGAUAUGGAAGGUUUGAACAAUGCUGAGUGGAAUGUGUUCAGAAUGAGUGGAAAGUAGCUUAGAGGUUGAGAGGCGAAAGAGAAUGUUAUGAGCGUUUUUCGAUGACUAAGGAAACGUACAAAUGGUUUGCAAGUGCAGAAGGAUAAUCAGCAAAGAGUGUAGAAAAGCUGUAGAAUAGCUGAACACACAGGCGGGCAGCUGCAAUAAGAAAUAAUUAAAAAAAAAAAACGAGCACUAAUAACUAAUGGCAAUAUUUUUGGAGGUUGAGAAAUUUCGUUAAAAACACACACACAGAAGCAUUAAAAACAAUAACAACAAAAUAGUAGCAACAACAACUGCAGAAAUUUGUAGAACGAAAAUAGUUAAGCCAAUAAUAACUCAAGGCAAGUGUGGAACUAAGUAAGCAGAAAUUGAAAUUAUUUCAUACAUGAAAUUUGGCAACAACGCCACGCAUAAUUUUAACUGCAAUGUGGCAACACAAUGCGCGAACGAAAUGCAAAAUCGAAGAAAGACACUAAGAGAUAUGCGAAGCUGCUUGGAAACAACGGACGAUAGCACGGCGAGCGCGCACAAACGAGCCAACAAAGAGCACGGUAGCUGAGAGCGAAACAACUGCGUUGAAUGCGGAAGGAAAGCGUUAACGGUUCAUAGAGAGCGGAAGGCAUGCACAGACAGAGAGUAGGAAAGAUGAGAGGAAGGCAACACCAGAUCGGAGUGAUGUGCUUGGGGAAAAGAGGCUUGUAGAAGUGUAGGAAGGCGGUAUGGAACGUAAGAAGUGCGUGGUAAAAGUAAAGAGAGGAAUGCAAGAGUAGGAAUUUCGCAGGAGAGUAUGAACUCCAAGGCAAGUGUGAGAGAGAGAGAGAGAAGGAAAAUUGAGAGAGUAUUGUACAUAAGUUCUACAACGAGCGAGCGAAAGCAGUGAGUGAAGUACGGAGUCAAGAGAGAACAAAGUAUGUACAUCAUGAAGUGUGCAAAGAAUGAUACGUAACCUUUACGCUUCCUACUGCUAGCGCUCAACGACCAACAAAUUAAAACGCCAAAGCUGCCGGAUGCUCAAGCAGAUCGCGCAAAUGACAACAGCCACAAACAUACAUACAUAUUUAUGAAAUCAUACUCAUACUCACCCAUAUAACCACAUUAAUACAUAUAUAAAACGUAGCAUGUAGAACCUACGCGUAAUUGCAUUGCGAUCUUUUAGGCGUUUAAGGUAAUUUUUAAUCAAACUCGCUAAA